UUUUUUUUUUGACAUCUAGUAUUUUUAUUAACGGGUCUUGGCCCAACUGAACCAAGCCCAACAGAAACCCACAAACAAAAGUCCAACAGACGGACCCAAACAUAACAACAACUUGGGCCUCAAGCCCAAAGAAAAGGAAACCCGUUGAGGAAGGCUUCUACGCGUCCCACCACGUGGACGAACGCCCGGCGUUCUGAGACACGCGUCAAGGAGAGAGCAGACCACCUUCCACCGGCGAUUUGGGGAGAGACUCGACGGAACUCCGCCGUCAAGCAGAGCCAAGCCGAUGAAGAACAGUUCACGAAGGAACCAUCUUCACGGUAAAUCAAGUCACACACCGGAUCUACGAUUUCAGAAAGAAGAAGCGCCUACAAUCAAACCCAACACCAACGAUCUUCCUGCCGAGAAAAACGGUCAUCUUUAAAGAUUAAAAGAAGCCCGAAGAUGAAACAACUCGCGCCAACGACGAGGAGAGGAAGCGAUCAAAUCGAGGCUAAGGAAAGAGAGGCGAUUGAACCCAGAAGAACGGAAAGCAUAGAUCAACGCAACCGGAGACGAACCCCGGAGAGAAGCCGCCGCCGCUUUCGAGAAGAAACGCGACGCGGAGACAAAAGCCGGAUAGCUCCGUCGAAGGGAGCGCGAGCCACCGGAAGCAAAAGCCGGCUAUACUCCGUCAAAGAGAUCGCAGUAUACCGGAGAUAGAGUCACCGAAAGAAAAUCGGCGACGGGAAUCGGAGCUUCAUCU
rnacentral:lncRNA from 1 species